UACGAAGGGGGCUAGCGUUGUUCGGAAUUACUGGGCGUAAAGGGCGCGCAGGCGGCCCUCCAAGUCAGGCGUGAAAGCCCCGGGCUCAACCCGGGAACAGCGCUUGAGACUGGGGGGCUUGAGUUCGGGAGAGGAGAGUGGAAUUCCCAGUGUAGAGGUGAAAUUCGUAGAUAUUGGAAGAACACCGGUGGCGAAGGCGGCUCUCUGGACCGACACUGACGCUGAGGCGCGAAAGCGUGGGGAGCAAACAGG
rnacentral:rRNA from 1 species